rnacentral:rRNA from 1 species
UACGGAGGGUGCGAGCGUUGUUCGGAAUUAUUGGGCGUAAAGCGCGUGCAGGCGGUUUGUUAAGUCUGAUGUGAAAGCCCCGGGCUCAACCCGGGAAGUGCAUUGGAAACUGGCAGACUUGAGUACGGGAGAGGGCAGUGGAAUUCCCAGUGUAGGAGUGAAAUCCGUAGAUAUUGGGAGGAACACCGGUGGCGAAGGCGGCUGCCUGGACCGAUACAGACGCUGAGACGCGAAAGCGUGGGUAG